rnacentral:lncRNA from 1 species
GCCAGGCAAACCAGACUCCACCCCAGUGUCUUUGGAGCGAGGCAGCCAUGGGCAAAACCAAGCCUGCUGUAAAGCCCCAAUGUAGAGUUCAGGCAAAAUGUGGUGAAAAGGGAGGAGGCAGUUUUGGCGAAAUCUUCCCGGGAGACCACGCAGCAAUACCAGUGACAGAAAUGAACAGCUAUGUGCCAGGGACGGCACUGUGCGCAUGUAACACAUCUCAACCAAUCUGCUCAACGACCAGCAGGCAUCGUACGACCCCGUGUUGCAGACGAAGAAACUGAGGCGCAAGGAGGUUCCUCGGCUUGUAUGCCUGGGUGUCAUGUAUGAGCCAGGCCGUCUAGAUGGGGCCUCCACGUGAAAAGUAACUACAAAACAGAACCAGAAAAUAGUCAUGCUGUUCAAACAUUACACUCCAAGAAAAGAAACUCUAGUGUAUAACAGAGGGGCUCUGUCAAAAUUUAACAACAUAAAUAUUGGGCAAAUGAAGUUGUUUCUCUGGUGCUAUCUCAACCUGCCAAUGGAGAAAUAUCUCAAAAAGUCAAGAAUUGAAGCCAUUACUCAGAGACAGCAUCCUAUGGCAUGGUGAUCCAAAACAAGUACACCUCUACCUUUUCCCUUUCAGCCCCAAACCCCAAAACACUGGAGAAUAUUGGGGCAGGCAAGGCCCGUGAAUAGGUGAGCAGAGCUGGAAGAAGAGACUCCUGCCCCUGGUGGGCCUCAGGCUAUUUGUGGAAUGAUGUUUGUGAGAUGAACAUGUUCGCUCCCUCACCCGGAUGUUUUGGACAUAGGAGCCUGGAGUAAAGAGUGUAUAUCUUGGGCUGUCAUUUUCCCGUGUGAAAGGUGUUUUGUUUUCUCCCCGUUUGCACAACUUGUUUCCCUUAAACUGUGCUGUGCAUGGCUAGGAAGCUCAGCAAUAGACUAAACAGUUUGCGAUCCCACAGUUUUGCUUUCUGUUUCUCAGGCCUGACCCAACACUCCAUGGGUUCCCUAGCCCUUCGUAGGUGCUUCGAAACACUCAUGGGGUCCUUGACCUGAUCCCAGUGGGGGUUUGUGUGUGGAAGUUAGGGAACCUCUCUUUGAGAGUUCUGGUGCCCCUAACUCUGUAGGGUCUGACUUCACUUCUGCCCCAAUAAGAAUGAAAGGCUUUGCCAGUAGUGCAGCCCUCUCCUCCCAAAGUCCUAGAGGCAAUUACUCUGAAAUAUGGAAGAAAGAGGCACAUCUGAAAGCCCAGUGCUGUCUUCUUGUCCUCACAUCCCUCAGGAUCUCAAGGU